CCCACCUAGACUAGAAGAAAAUAGACUUUUUUUUUUCAAUUAUCUUUUGCUUUUAUUUCAUUAUAGUUUGUAAUAGCUCUGAAGCUAUAAAUCUUAGCCAGGGUUCUCCACAAGGCUUCCCUUUCAGUGAAAAUGUCCUUUUUCACGUUUCUAAUUUUAUCCAUUUCUUUGCCAUACAAGAUUUUUCCCAGGCAUCAACCAGAAAUGACUUGUGCUCUUCCUUAGAAUGCUAAAGCUACAGAUUAACUCUUCAGUGAGGGGUUAGGCAGUGAAAUGUGAGUGACAUUUUGCAAACUAGGAAACCUGGGUAUAUUUUGUACUAACUUUAUAAAAUAAUCCUUGAUAGGCCAACUGUUUGUCCUAUGAAGAAACUGGUAAGUAGAAGGGGUGAAAUCCUCCCUGAUCAUCUGGUGUUGCUGUGGAGCAGUCAGGAGAUUAACUCCAUUUUUAGGACCGCUAUAUGAAUAUCCCCAGAGGUUUUCCUCCCAGUACUGUCUUCGAUAGUACUGCUUAUAUAUAUAUAUUUACUUUAAAAGGUGGAAUUGGUCUCAGUGUGGAUGUUCUCUAGCACAAGCAUGAGAGAUGCUCUGAGGUGAAGCACAGUUUGCCUUGGGCACCAGCUGCACCAGGCUGAAGUGUCCUAACCUUUCACAUCAAUGCAGCUUCUGUUUAGAGAUGCAUAUUUGCAGGGAAAUUUUAGAAACUGGUAUCUGUCCAAGCCACAUGCUUUUAUAAUAGGAGAUGGAGUUGACAUGCUGGAAUUCUAUUUUCUUCUGUUGAGACAAACAAAAAAAGAAAUCAGCAACCAACUCACUCUCAAGAAAUAUGAUGUCACAGUUGUGUUGAUCUGGGCUUUUUAGAAAUUUUAGUAUUUGGGUUUCUUGGUUGUUUUGUUUUUUGAAAGCUGCUCUGGGAAAAUAUGUGGUAGGGAUUUGAUGUUUUGUUUUAAGAGAUAAGUCAAUCAAAAAGAAUUUCAACAGCUAACAAGAUAAGUGACCUGUGGUCACAAACACAUAAUUGUACAGGCAAGGGAUAUUGCUGCUUUCAUGACACCAUUAUUUCAAGUGGAUCUGGAAGAGCUGCUGAGCAGUAGCAUCACUUACUCAGGGUCUGGAUUCAUAAGCUAUUGUUCUGGUUUCCUGAGGCCUCUCCUUUUAGUGGUAUUCUAUCACGUUGUUAUCUAGAGUUUAUCUUUUCUUAUGCCAAGAUGUGUUAAAUGCUGUGCUGAAGAUGGCACCCCUAUGCACAAUUACAGUCCUAGAGUAUCACUAAUUUUGACGUUUGAAUUAAUAACAGUGCAUACAUGCUACUGUUUUAUUUUCAUAUAAUGCUUGUGGUUUAUUUUUUUGUUUUGUUUUGUUUUUAGUUACAUUUCAUUCUAGUGUUAGAGAGAGAUUUUUUGCUUAGCAGCGUUCAUAGUGUAUCACUGUAUAAGUUUUGCUUAAAGUUACCUUUUUCUCCUGAAGAAAAUUGUUUACUUCAGGCACCAUAAUGUCCCUUACACAUGAAGAUCACAGGUAGGUGAGUUUAGCAGUGGUCACUGGCUGAAAUAGGACUGAACUUUUCAGAAUCUAGUUGUGGAGAGGUAUAAAUCACAGGAAUUUAGCUGCUGCCAGCUGAAUCUUUCCUGCUGCAGCAUACCCAGAAUGUUUGAAGAAUGGCCUAGGUUAAAGCAAAGGCAAUUGAGGUGCCCUUUUGUAGAUGAGUUGUGUUAACCAUGAGGUUUCCCUUAUUCUGUGGAUUUUGUGGGGUAGCUUUUUAAAUUUUAAAUGAAGUUUAAUUUUCCUGACAGCUGAAUAUUAGCAAGUCUUUGUGCCAUGGCUGCUGUGACCUAUGUGGUUCUUUUGGGACUCAAAUUUCUGUAGGAAGAUUGAACAACAACUUAGAAAGAUGCUAACCACUACAUUGCUUGUAAUGAUGCUUGUUUCCUUUUUUUUAGUGUGGUAAAGACAUAGCAGACAACCUCUGUUGAAAGCAAACCUCAGCAUCACUCUGAAUUUUCAGAUCUCAUAAUAGUGGGGAAGUUUUAUAGAAUCAUAGAAUGGCCUGGGUUGAAAAGGACCCCAAAGAUCAUCUAGUUUCAUGAUCUUUAACCAGUUGGUUUCACAAGGCAUACACUGGCAUAGUUUUGUACGACAGAAGUGGACAUGGGAACAAUUUGUUAGGCAGCAUCCACAUUUGUUUUAUUUCCAUUUUAAGAUCUAACCAUGUUGGUGCAGCUGUGAGCCAAGCAUGUGUCAGCAUGCACCCUUCCUGCAGCCAGUGAGGGUCUAGUGCUGCUGGAAGAAUUCAGUACAUAAAAAUCGAAAGGACCAACUCUUGUCUUUUGGUUUGCAAACAUUUAAGUGGAGAUGCACUUUAAAUGAGAGCUUGUUUACUUCUGGGCAAGCAGUGCUUGGGUUUGAAGUUUCUCACUUGAGUUGGUUCUUAAGAAGUUAGUGUUUGGGCACCACCUCAGUUCCUUCAGGAGACUUGAAUAUGGUGGAGCUCCUAAAUGACCUUUUGGGGCUGAGUUCAGAGUUGAGAGGUGUGGUGGCAGAGGAUUUCACUGGUAGAUAACAGCUAUGCAUGGCACCCUUGCUGCGGCUGAUCAGUAGGUACUCAUAGCCACAAUGGGUUUCCUCUCGGGGCAUGGAGCGCUAAACUCUGCAGUUCUUGAGAUCGUUUUUUGGGUAUAAAUCCAAGCUAGUGGUGGGCAUGAUCGGGGCAGACAGAACUACUGCUUCACAGGUUUUGCUGGGGGCUUUGAGGGCAUCACAAAAGGUUGUGGGUGUUUAUUUUUCUUAAUUGUACACUAGUUGUAUUCAUUAUUUUUCUUCCUGUAUAAAUAAACCUUACUGAUCCGUGCUGCCUUAGUGACAAAUCUCUGUUUAGCUUAGCUUUUAUUUGACCACGUGUCCCUUGAAGCUCUCCUUUUCCUGGGUUGCUCCCCUUGCUCCCUUUGUCUGACCAGUUUCCUUCGCCUUUGAGGGCUGCUGGGGUGACUGCUUUUGCAUGACAAAGAGAAACACGCUGCAUUGUUGCGGCCCGAGUUGUGGUGGUUUUGUGGCUGCAAAACGCAAGCUCAAGUGAAACAGUCAGCUCAUCAAUUCUUAUUUUGUGAAGUAUUUUACAUACUCUGGGGCUUGGGGAAACUUUAUCAGAUCUCUGUCGAUGUGAGAAGAGCGUGUGUACUAGCCAUAACUCCGGGCAGAGAGAGAGCUUGUUUAGAGUCCUUCAUGAUAUUGAACUGGACUCUUUCUUAUGUAUUUUGAGUUUCUGGUAUCCUAAGAGUGUCCUCAUGAAAACUGGUGUUUUUUUCUAGAAACCCAGAUUCUAGAAACAACCAAUUGUAUGAAGCCUUGGGGUUGGCGGAGGAGGAAAAGAGGUACUUGUGGAGUGUGUAUGCAUAUUUCUUCUUUUGAAUAUGUGCCUAGAUUUAAAUGUCUUGCACUCUGUUAUCCCAGGGACCAGGAAAAGGUCCCCAAAGCUUUGGAUUUUAACUCAGUUGCAUGAUUAUUUGUUGAGGCCUGAAUUCUUGAAAGUGGAAAUGCUGUAGAAGUGCAAUCUUUCCCCUUUCAGCUUUUUCCCCUGUGGAGGGAGAAAGAAUUCUUUUCUCUCCGCUGCUCCCUAACUCAAAGACCUCAGUCUGUUGGAGAAUAAAAGGGAAACGGUUCUGCCUUCCCUUGCUUUGACUUUGGAGAGUCAAUCUUACUUAGGCAUCAUAUCAGAGCAUACCAGAACAGCUCUCUAAUUUUUUCAAAAUAGCAGCAGAAUGGCUCUUGUUAGGUUCACUUUGGCCCAACAAGUUCUGAAUAGUGAAUCUGACAAGAAUUGUAUUGUUUUUAGUUCUACUGCUCUGGAAAGCUGUGAGCCAAGGGAAAGAUGCUGGCAUGGUGUAUACAGUAAAACAGCAUGGGGUUAGUUCUCCUUUGCAAGGCUGUCUGCACUGCUGAGAUGCUUGCUACUGAAUAUAGGAUUAUUAUUAUUUUUUUAAAAGCUUAUGUAUGAAUUAGUGCACACCUCUCCCGUCUGCCAGGAGAAGGCUUUCUCUUAUCCGUGCCGAAUGAGUGAGGAGAAUCUUAAAGCCCAGAAUUAUUCCCUCAUUUACUUCCAUAAUCAAAUACAGCAGAGUGCACUGAAGACAUAUCCUAGAGGAAAUUCGUUUCCUUUUUUAAGGCAUGAAACCUAUUUGGUCACUCUACUCUCCGACACGUAGCUUCCCUAUAGCAGUGUAUUCUGUGUGCACUUUGCAGUGGUCCUGUAUCAGCUUUUCUUGGCUGUGUUGUACAAGCAUCGCUGGCUUUCAAAACUGAAGCUGGUGUAAACGUGCUUGAAACCCUUCAGCUAUCUGGCUAACAUGUUUUGUUUUGUUUUGUUUUUGUUUUGUUUACCUUUUUUUCUGACAGUAGAAGAAAAUGAAACAGAGGACCUGCAGGCAGGUGUGGGACACACAGCCGCACAGACUGACCCUAACUGUAAACUAGAAGACAAGACAGAAGAUGGAGAAGUGUUAGACUGUAAGAAAAGGCCGGAUGAAGGGGAGGAGUUGGAAGAAGAAGCUGUGCACAGCUGUGACAGCUGCCUCCAGGUGUUUGAGUCACUGAGUGAUAUCACAGAACACAAGAUUAAUCAAUGUCAACUGACAGAUGGAGUGGAUGUUGAGGAUGACCCCACUUGCUCAUGGCCAGCAUCAUCACCUUCCAGCAAGGACCAGACUUCCCCAAGCCAUGGAGAAGGUUGUGAUUUUGGUGAAGAGGAGGGAGGCCCAGGGUUGCCCUAUCAGUGCCAGUUUUGUGACAAAUCGUUCAGCCGCCUCAGCUACUUAAAGCACCACGAGCAAAGUCACAGUGACAAACUCCCUUUCAAAUGCACGUAUUGCAGUCGUCUCUUCAAACACAAACGAAGCAGGGACCGCCACAUAAAGCUUCAUACGGGAGACAAGAAGUAUCACUGCAGCGAGUGUGAUGCAGCAUUCUCAAGGAGUGAUCAUCUUAAAAUUCACUUAAAAACUCAUACGUCCAACAAGCCAUAUAAAUGUGCCAUUUGUAGACGUGGAUUCCUGUCAUCUAGUUCGCUGCACGGCCACAUGCAGGUUCACGAGAGGAACAAGGAUGGCUCUCAGUCUGCUUCCCGGAUGGAGGACUGGAAAAUGAAGGACACUCAGAAGUGCAGUCAGUGUGAAGAAGGCUUUGAUUUUCCUGAAGAUCUUCAGAAGCACAUUGCGGAAUGUCACCCUGAGUGUUCUCCUAAUGAAGACCGAUCUGCUCUUCAGUGUGUUUAUUGUCACGAACUCUUUGUAGAGGAAACGUCUCUGGUGAAUCACAUGGAGCAGGCUCAUAAUGGUGAGAAGAAGAAUUCAUGCAGCAUUUGCUCUGAGAACUUUCACACUGUGGAAGAGCUGUACAGCCACAUGGACAGUCACCAGCAGCCAGAAUCAUGCAACCACAGCAACAGCCCAUCAUUGGUAACUGUUGGCUACACCUCAGUCUCAAGUACCACUCCAGAUUCCAAUCUCUCUGUGGAUAGUUCAACAAUGGUGGAAACGGCUCCCCCUAUACCAAAAGGCCGUGGAAGGAAGCGGGCAGCUCAGCAAGUGCCAGAUAUCACUGGUCCUUCAAGUAAACAGGCAAAAGUUACCUACAGCUGCAUUUAUUGCAACAAACAGUUAUUUUCCAGCCUUGCAGUUUUGCAGAUACACCUGAAAACUAUGCAUUUAGAUAAACCUGAACAAGCCCAUAUCUGUCAGUACUGUUUGGAGGUAUUGCCAUCUCUCUACAAUCUGAACGAACAUCUUAAGCAAGUCCACGAAGCUCCGGAUCCAGGGCUGAUUGUUUCCACCAUGCCUGCCAUGGUGUACCAGUGCAACUUCUGCUCUGAAGUGUUCAAUGACCUCAACACUCUUCAGGAACAUAUCCGAUGUUCUCAUGGAUUUGCCAACCCUGCUGCUAAGGACAGUAAUGCGUUCUUUUGUCCCCAUUGCUACAUGGGGUUUCUUACAGAUUCUUCUCUGGAAGAGCAUAUUAGACAAGUCCAUUGUGAUCUUAGCAGUUCCCGUUUUGGUUCCCCUGUGCUCGGAACCCCAAAAGAUCCAGUAGUGGAAGUGUAUUCUUGUUCUUACUGUACAAAUUCUCCAAUAUUUAAUAGCGUUCUUAAAUUGAACAAGCAUAUCAAGGAGAACCAUAAGAACAUUCCUUUGGCACUGAAUUACAUCCACAAUGGAAAAAAAUCCAGAGCCAUGAGUCCCUUAUCUCCUGUAACGAUUGAGCAGACCUCUUUAAAAAUGAUGCAGGCAGUUGGAGGUGCUCCUCCUCGUCCUGCAGGUGAAUAUAUUUGUAAUCAAUGUGGUGCUAAGUAUACUUCCUUGGACGGUUUUCAGACUCAUUUAAAAACACAUCUUGAUACUGUCCUACCAAAACUGACCUGCCCUCAGUGCAACAAGGAAUUUCCAAAUCAGGAGUCUCUGCUGAAGCAUGUUACCAUUCAUUUUAUGAUCACCUCAACCUACUACAUCUGUGAAAGCUGUGACAAGCAGUUUACUUCUGUGGAUGACUUGCAGAAGCACCUACUAGACAUGCAUACAUUUGUAUUCUUCCGCUGCACCUUGUGCCAAGAGGUUUUUGACUCCAAAGUCUCUAUCCAACUACACUUGGCUGUGAAGCACAGCAAUGAAAAAAAGGUAUAUAGAUGUACAUCUUGCAACUGGGAUUUCCGCAAUGAGACUGACCUACAGCUGCAUGUUAAACACAACCACUUGGAGAACCAAGGCAAAGUGCACAAAUGCAUCUUCUGCGGUGAAUCCUUUGGUACAGAGGUGGAGCUGCAGUGCCAUAUUACUACGCACAGCAAGAAGUACAACUGCAAGUUCUGCAGCAAAGCUUUCCAUGCCAUCAUCCUGCUGGAAAAGCACCUAAGGGAAAAGCAUUGUGUUUUUGAAACAAAAACUCCAAACUGUGGAACGAAUGGGGCAUCUGAGCAGGUUCAGAAGGAAGAAGUGGAGCUCCAGACCUUGUUGACAAAUAGCCAGGAGUCCCAUAACAGCCACGAUGGCAGCGAAGAGGAUGUGGACACAUCUGAGCCUAUGUAUGGCUGUGACAUUUGUGGAGCAGCUUACACCAUGGAGACUCUCCUGCAAAACCACCAGCUUCGAGAUCACAACAUUCGGCCUGGAGAAAGCGCCAUAGUGAAGAAAAAGGCUGAACUCAUUAAAGGGAAUUACAAGUGUAAUGUGUGUUCUCGAACAUUCUUCUCUGAAAACGGGCUUCGAGAACACAUGCAGACACACUUGGGACCAGUGAAACAUUACAUGUGCCCAAUCUGUGGCGAGCGGUUUCCAUCUCUUCUGACUCUUACUGAACAUAAAGUCACACAUAGUAAGAGCCUGGAUACCGGAAACUGCAGGAUUUGCAAGAUGCCUCUGCAGAGUGAGGAGGAAUUUUUAGAGCAUUGCCAGAUGCACCCUGACUUGAGGAACUCUUUGACAGGGUUCCGCUGCGUGGUGUGCAUGCAGACUGUGACCUCCACGUUGGAACUGAAAAUCCACGGCACAUUCCACAUGCAGAAAACUGGAAAUGGUUCUGCCGUGCAGUCUACGGGGCGCGCACAACAUCUCCAGAAACUGUACAAGUGUGCUUCUUGCCUGAAGGAAUUUCGUUCAAAACAGGAUUUAGUGAAACUUGACAUCAAUGGUCUGCCAUAUGGUCUGUGUGCUAGCUGUGUUAAUCUCAGUAAAAGUGGUAGUCCAAGUGUCAACAUCCCUUCAAGCAGUAACAGACAAGGCAUGGGCCAAAAUGAGAACUUGAGUUCCAUUGAGAACAAAAGCAAGGCAGGGGGACUGAAGACUCGAUGUUCUAGUUGCAAUGUUAAAUUUGAAUCAGAAAGUGAACUCCAAAACCAUAUUCAGUCAAUCCACAGAGAGCUUGUUCCAGACAGCAACAGUACACAGCUGAAAACACCACAAGUAUCUCCAAUGCCCAGAAUCAGCCCCUCCCAAACUGAAGAGGUAACCCUUUUUAUUUUGCUCUUGACACCUUCCAUCCUUUUAGAAAAAAAUCCCCCUUUUUUCAAGUCGUUUUGUCACUUGUCAUGAAAUUCUUAGGCUGAACCAUGUUACAUUUCCAUCUGUAGCUAUUAGCUAGUAAUUACUUGCUUCUUGAUAUGCCUUACAUCUUGGAUUGAAUUGUGCGGAAUAGGACUAAUUCCAGUCUCCCUAGGAUAUUGUCUUCUGUAUCACUGAGGAGACCUAUCUUCAUGCCAGCACAACUGAGAUCUGGAAUCUUACCCUAGCUCUGUUAAUGCGUUGGAAUCCCCAGCUAGGAGUUGUGCUUACGGCAGGGAGCAUUAAUGACAGAGGAGUAGAACGCAGUGAGCCAAAAUGCUGGCAUAAGGGGUAGAUUUUUAAAAAAUAUUUGUGAACAACAAACUGCGGUUGGUUUUUUUCUUUGCAAAUUGUGUUGUAGACAUUGAUUUUCUCACUUACAGCAUAUUUGGAUUAAAUAGAAGUGCAACACUAGCCUAAGGUAAACUGGGAAAUGCGUCCUUCAGAGGCAGUUCCUGGUUUUACUUUUCUUUCCAUUCCCGAUGAACAGAUUUUGAUGUUGCUGAAGCACCUAUGCCUGAUGAAUGAAAUCCUGUUCAUGCAGUGUGACUUAGAAAAUAAAUCUACGUUUCAGAAAAAAACAAAGGGUCAAACUCUUAAAAGAUCCCAUCUGCUUUCUCAGACUCGAGUGACCAAAAAAUAAUGGUUGUAUGGGGAGUAGAAGGGGAAGGUAAGGGAGUCAUUUACUGACUGAAGGGAAUCUGCUUUAUCUCUGAUCUUCAGAAAUAUUAGCAAUAGAAUGACUGAGAGUUACUAUUUUAGUCAUGGUAUUUUGCAUAAUAACCUAUUAUAGUUCAGGAAGCUUUAAAACACAGCACACACAAAUUAAAAGAAAUAAUAGCUUUUGUUUCGAAAGAGCUUAUAACAUGUAAUGGUGCAAGUGUGUAGUAACCCAUCACUGUGAAUGCAUAUGGAUACCCUGUGGUUAAAGAGCUGCUCUUCCGUCUCUUUCAUCACUCCCUAUUUGUGAGCCCAUCUGUUGGGCAAGAAAUCUCUUAGCCUGUCACCCAGUAGACAUGUGCAAACUGGAGGGCAGGGGGGAGGCAGAGAGAAGGUGGAGUGAUGCAUGAGGAUGUGUGGUUCAAGAGGUAAGUGUGGAGCUACUGAGAACAUAGCUGGGAGGAGGCCACUGAAGCAGCACAGGACCUGGUGUGUUACCAAGAGGAACACUCCAGCUGGGAGAUGAAAGUGUAAUACCAGUCAGGAUGCAUCCACCAGAAAGUGACUCCAUGCUUUUAUGGCAUCUGCAUCUCCAGUGUGCAAGCUGGGGGUGAUAGGUGAUGCUUGGGGAAUGGGAUGUGUUGCGUAGUUAAUGGGAGGAGCAGUUUGUUAGAUUGAGAACUGCAAGUCUAAGGAAAACAUUUUCAAAGAGGAGAGAAGAGGAGUGGCUCCCAUUAUUGUACUUUUAGGCCACUGAUGGUCCUGUAGUAUUGCUGCUGAGUAGGAAUCACCGAAUGACCAGCUACAAACUUUUGAUAGAUUCACAAUCAUCCUAUUUUCUUUUAUCUUUUCCCAAAAGACUGCUUGAUAUCUCUCUUCCCAGUCAUUCUGGAAGCCAAUUCCUGCUACCUCAAGCAUGAACAGAAUCAUACAUGUUAAGACAGUUAACAAGAUAAUGUGUUGCCAAUUUGACUUUCUCUUGCUUGUAAACUAAGGAAAAUGAGAUAUAGGCAUUCUCUGCAGUGAUAUAAGGUCAGUUACCUUCAGUGUCCUCAGGGAAUCUUCUUGUACUUGGAUCAGGUAUAAUCAGCGUUUUUGUAUCUUCUGAUUGGUCUCAUGUUUCUUUUCUUGCUUUUUUCAUUUUUUAUCUUAGAAAUGUAUGUAAGAUGAAAAAGCCUUUUAAACUACAUCAAGAUUUUUGAGUAGAAUUUGCAUGCUUCCGAAUCACCAUUUGCCUUCUGCCUCCAUUCAGAGCUCUUAAACUGAUUUUUCAGUGCCUGUGGUUUUGUCUUCACAUGUGCAACCUAGGCUUUCAGAUUCUUUUCUCAUGGGAGGCAAAAAGCUAUCAAGUUCCUGAUAAAGCAUUAGUACUUCUGGAAACUAUAAAUGCAUGUUUAUAAAAUCUUGAAAGAUAAUUUAAUUUUCUAACAGAUAUUAUUUCAAAUUGUAGUGAUGCGAAUGUUAUAGCAAUGAGAAUCAAAAUUCAAAGUGGUAAUGCAAAGAUGUUCAACACUAUAGAUUUGUUAUCCAGGCUGAGAGAAAUGAAAACAUAAGCAUAUAACACAAACAGUAAAAACAAAUUGAGUUUCUAAAAUUUAUUAUUAGUUAGUGGCUUUGGUCCUGCACUGGAAGAAUAUUUGUCGAAUUGAAUGAGGUACUGAAGAAAGCUAUUUAAAUGUGUUAUUUUGGAGAAAUUUUCAACAACAAAAAAAAAUCAUUACAUUAAGGAGUGAAGGUUCCAUUUGCAUUAUUUAUAGUUGUUGGCUUGAGUUGUGAGCUUCAAGUAAAUAAUAGUUCACUUCAGAAGCAAGAAAAAUCUAAAGUAGUUAUCAGACAAUUAACAGUACUGAAUACCCUUCGUUACUCAGUUAAAAGAUGACUGUGCUAAGAGUGCUAGAAGAUACCUUUUUAAGAUAAAAGAACAUUAAACACAUGGUUUCUGCCUUCUUGGCAAGAAGAAGGUCAAGUAUUCCUAUGCUUAAGCUAGAACACUUUCCUUUUUAGUCUGUACAAAAUAACGUGAUAGGAUGUGAUUGUACUAUUGUCUUCAGACAGACAGACUUGAGACUUGAACAAUUCAACUGUGGAUAGAUGGCUAUUGAAAGAGCUUUUAAAUUAGUAAACCCCUAAUUUAUUCUUUGAGCUUAAUGAGAUGCUAAAUUCAGGCUGUAGAUUUCUUGUAAAAAUCCUAAAUUAUUGCAAGUAUGCUGUUAGGCUAGAAUAAUAAUCUUGGUGAUACUUAAUGUUUAAACGUGAAGAACAAGGUUUAAUGUGAUAGUGAAUUGAGAACUAGACAGAGAUUAUUUUCCUGUCACUCGUGUGCUUUGGCAACUCGGACAAAUCCACUUGAACAUCUCUUCCUCACUUUCCUUAUUGAGAAAAUAAUUUUGAUAGUUUCUGAAAAUGCAUUGCCAUGCUUAAUUACGAUACAUUUUCUGCAAAGGACUAGGAAGAUAAAAAGCAGUGUUCAAGAAAAGAUGUGCAGCUUUGCCUCUUUUGCUCUUCUUCGGUGUGUUGCUGUGCACCUAAUGAGAGAACUGCUGGCACAGCAGAAAGGUGUGCCUUUUCUUUUUAAGCUUCACAACUUCUGUACACUCAGAACCAUACCAGCAUAACAGUUCAAUAAUAAUUAUACUGCUAAUUGCUUAGCAGGCAGGGGAGGAGGGUGUGGACUUUAUACCAACAGUUCAUUGGUAAAGCUAAUCUGGUGGUAGUGUGUCCUUGUGAGCCACUGUGCUCAGUUUGGGGUCCUGUUGAUAACAUCCAGAGUAGAUGCUCAGCAAGCAUAAUUGCUGCUAUAAGUAGCUAAAGUUAUGUAUCACUUUUUUUCAUGAAUGUGAAGCUCAUAUGAAUACUGUAUUACCUGUGGCAAUGCAGACAGUCCUUCAUUAAUAAUACAAGGACAUUCUGGGUUUUCUGGUCCUGAGAAGAGAAGGGGCAGUGCAAGCACACUACUAAAUUACCGCAGGAAUAAAGAUGUUUAUCUAGGUGUUGCAAAAGACUUACAAAAAUUCACUGUAGCAGAGAAUCAAAGUGCUGAACAAAGAAGAAAAGAACUAGCAACAGUGAAGCCAGCUGAAGAACCGCAGUGAGAAUCUGGGGCUGCUCUCUGUCCCGUUGUGGUUGCACAGAGCUGUAUGCCAGGGUGGGCAUGUCCCAGCAAGGAGCACCUAGCACCGCACAGCACCAUUCUGGAACGAACCAUAAAGGUGCAGGCUAACAAUGAGCUCAUGGAAAUGGGAGUCACAGAAUUCAGGUGCUGAAGAGCUGGUGGCUCAAUGAAUCUCAACGUAUCUGACCUCAGAUGAAUCUUGAAAUGGUAUCUCUGGGAGCACGAAUGGCAUUCAGAUGCUUCAGUUGAGAAAUUCUUCAUACCUUUGCAUCGGAGGAAGAAAGGAUAACUUGUUCUCCAAACUUUUCAAGAGUUCCAAGCCAAGAUUUCCAUGAAACAAGGCAGCAGAAGCAGUGCCUCCUUGAAGAAAAGCAGAUUAACAGGAGAGGGGCACAGGAAAAUAGAUGAAGACAUUAAGCAACUCUAGAGAGGGUAUUUGUAAAUGUAUUUGUGUCUCAUAGAACUUCAACAAAGUUUUAUGGGACAAAGUGCCCUAAGAUGUACACUCCUGUUGAUCAUCUGGGCAGCCCACUGUUUUCAUGGGACUUUCCUCAUUCAUGUACCUGCUGGCCAAGUGACCAGGGUAACAUCACAGUUUCCCUUCCACACAACCUCAGUGGAAAAUCAGCAGUGAUGAGUGUUAGUACUUCGACCUCAAAAUCAUGUAGAAACCACAAUAAACUUUCUCUUUUUUUCUAGCCUGAUCAUCUUUGGGAACAAGACAUAGGAAAUCAUGAUAUGUGUCUUUUUGUCUCUUUGUAUACUACUAGAGAGUUCUCUCUCUUCCCCCUCCAACUUUUGAACUAUUCUUGCCCAAUUUCAACAAAAACAUUAUAGCUGAGCAGGAAUAUUAAAGUCUAUAGAGUUUUUACAACUUUGGUGGAAGAAAAGUGACCCAGCAUAUCAUCUGUGAUAGAAACCAGUCAAGAAAGAAGCCUUUUAGGGAUCCAAACCAGGAAGAUGGCUUUAACUGAAGUUCAUACCUGGUUUCUCUGCAAAAGUCUAUCAGCCACAAGACAUGAAGCUAUAAGGAACCACAAUCCACUCUUUGUGGUGAUUACACAGUAACUUUUAAACUGACUAAAUGUUUUGAGAAGUGCUAUUUGUUUUGGUUUUUUUUUUGUUUUUUUAAUCAGUGCUCAAUAAAGCUAUUAUAUGCAAUGUGUGUAUUAUUUAUCUCACACACCAAACAUGACACCCAAAUUUGUCACUCUGUCAUGAGAAACAUAAAAUGGGCUGUUAAUUUAAAAUGAAUGUGCAUCCCUAGUACUGCUUGUUCCAUAGAGUUGUACAAAAUGAACAUAAAUGAACCACCUGAUAGGUGGCAUCAUGGAGAGUCCUCUUGUUUGACCUAUGUCUUUGUGAAGACUGGUGAUUGAUCUUAACUCUAGUUGGUUGUUCAGAAUCUUUGGAUACUUUUUUUCCUUCCAAUCUCAUUUCCCAUUUAUUCUGUUUACUGCAUUCUUUUACAGCUGUAGAUAUGACAGCAGAAAUGUGUGUCCUGUCAACAUUAGUUGUUGCCAUGGGGCGUAUCAAGGCAGGAGUCGGUGGGCACAAGUUGAAAUACAGGGGCUUCCAUGUGGGUAACUGGUACAGGUUGCCCAGAAGAGGUUUUGGAGUCUGAGUGCCUAAACAGAGGACUGGUCCAAAAUGGCCUCCAGAGAUCCCUUCCAACCUCAGCCAUUCUGUGAUUCUGUGGUUUCCAGAGUGCUUUUGGCCUGCCUACCAGAUGUGCAUCUGUGUUACCUUGUUCUCUCUUGGUGGUUAAACCUUUAUUGCUAGUAUAGAUGCCAUAAGUCAGGGAAUGAAAAGAUGGGGCAUCUCACUACAGUCCUACUAGUAACAAUGUGCACAUCAAAGAAAAAAAAACCACACAGUUUGCAGUUUUUAUUGGAGACCUAAGUUCAUUGAAGUGAAGGCCUCACAUGCGUUCAUUGAUCAUUCAUAUCGCCCAUGAAAUGACUUUGAAAAGCCCCUUAAAAAUAUAGCCUCUUAGAAAUGCAGUCAUUAAAAGUCGCUUGCUGCUUGUAUACUCAAAAGCAAGGUGGAAGGUAGGAGGAAAAGAGACUGUUUGUCCCCUUUGGUCAUGCUUCCACAAUUUUGGUAUCCUGCAUAGGAUAGUGUUCCUCUCUUGCCUGUUAUCCAGAUUCAGCUGUAUGCAAAAAGGCACACCUAAUGGCUUCUUGUGUCUGGAAGGCCUCCUCUUCCCUCUGCUUUUUCUGAGAGGAAAUAGAAUGGUUCACCAACAGAGAACGAUCUGAGAUUCCAAGCUUCCAAAUUCCUUUUUCCACCUUCAUUUCCACUGCUACAACAGUCCUCUUGGUUUCUGUUCUGAUGGCUGAAGUAGGUUUGGUGCGAAACUAGGAAUGUGGCUGUCUGCACAUGCCAAUCCUGAAGCUUUCCCUGACAAACUCACAGUUGAUCCUUUCUGCUGCUUGGGCCUUCUUUUUGCAGGCCUAAUAAAAGAACGUCUGCAACACCUGAUGAUUUUUGUGAAUGCUUUCUCUUAACCUUACUUCUUCUGUUUUCUUCUAAUCCCUGCUUCACAAUUUCAUAGUCCAUAUAAUGGUGGUCUAGACAAGCCUAGACAUAUGGUAUUCUGUUUCUGAAGUAAAUCCCUUGAUCUCUUUUUCUGUUAGAGAAUGGUAGAUUGAAGCCCAUGAACUUAUUACAAGAUGUA